rnacentral:rRNA from 1 species
GACGAACGCUGGCGGCGUGCCUAAUACAUGCAAGUUGAGCGCUGAAGGUUGGUACUUGUACCAACUGGAUGAGCAGCGAACGGGUGAGUAACGCGUGGGGAAUCUGCCUUUGAGCGGGGGACAACAUUUGGAAACGAAUGCUAAUACCGCAUAAAAACUUUAAACACAAGUUUUAAGAUUGAAAGAUGCAAUUGCAUCACUCAAAGAUGAUCCCGCGUUGUAUUAGCUAGUUGGUGAGGUAAAGGCUCACCAAGGCGAUGAUACAUAGCCGACCUGAGAGGGUGGACGGCCACAUUGGGACUGAGGCACGGCCCAAACUCCUUCGGGAGGCAGCAGUAGGGAAUCCUCGGCCAUAGACGGAAGUCUGACCGGGCAACGCCGCGUGAGUGAAGAAGGUUUUCGGAUCGUAAAACUCUGUUGGUAGAGAAGAACGUUGGUGAGAGUGGAAAGCUCAUCAAGUGACGGUAACUACCCAGAAAGGGACGGCUAACUACGUG